rnacentral:pre_miRNA from 1 species
AGUGAACCAAAAUGAACAUCGUUGGAUCGGGUUUCUCGACGAACGGGCUUUUUAAUCACUGUCUAAGUUCGUUGUCGACGAAACCUGCAUACAAUGAUUGUCGAAACAACA